rnacentral:lncRNA from 1 species
GGUGGGGGUAGCUGGGGAUAUAUUAUAUGGGGUCAUGAGGGACAGCCUCCUGGAUGGGGACAUUUCUGCCAGGACCAAGGGAAAAAAAGAGGAUCCCAGAAGAAAUGUGUAGGAAGCUAUGGGCACUCCAUACCCACAGGAGAUGAGUGCUGUUAAGCGGUGAAGAAGCUGUGCAUAUGUGUGUGUGUAUGUGUGAGUGUGUGCGCCCCUCCCCCAGGUACUUGCUUAUGCCCCAGCUUGAGUCUUCUCAUCCUCUAGGGAGAAGGCAUGAGCAAAAGCUUCCAGGUUCAGAAGUGACCUUGAUCUGAACAGGAGCUGACGUGUUGGGAUAUGGCAAGCUUGGAUGAUUCUUGACAACAAAGAACCUGGAACCAGGAUUUGGACUGCUUGUAGUCCUCAGGUCUUAAACGUCAGAAUCAGCUUUUCAGUUUGGGAGAGUUCUUGGGUGGCCCUCACCCACCAGGCCCUACUCACAUCAGAGUUCCAGUUGAGUUGGGGGACUUUAUGCUGUAGUCUGGUUCCAACACACUGUGGCUGCAUCACAGAAGGUAAGUUGAAAGUUAGGUGUCCUUCCAGUGAUGAAACAGAAAAUAAACAGAUUAUCAGGCCCUUCCCCCAACCUGCUGAUUAGAGUCUGUACUUCAAUGAGAUCCCAG